AGAAAGAUCGAGUGAGGGACAUCACAUAGAACCAUUCAGCGUCAGUGGCAUCUCUGUGAUCGAUCAUAGACCCAUCUGUGUCAUGGUAUUCACAGAUGAGAGCUUGGAUUCCAUUCACGGGUCUUUUCCUCUCUAAGUUGAAGGUAGGAAUGCGGUGUUGGAGGUGGCUGUUGACGGUGGUUAGUUUUGGGGAUGUAUCUCUGGUGCCUUGGAAGUGGCCAUCUCCCCAUGCGAGGAAGACGCGGCCAGUUUCAUCGUUUGAUGUUUGCCAGAAUAUGGCAUAAGCCCACCAGUCAGGCUGGCUUUGGAGCAUGAAUUGGAGCCUCUGUUGGAUAGUAGCUGGGGUUUCUUGUGAUGAAGGGACUAGCGAAGAAGAAGAAGAAGAUGGAGAUAUGAUGAGUUUCUCCAUGGCUUGAGAUCAAUUCUGAUUGUGUCAAAGAGGCAGAAAGAGGGAAAUGGAUGCGAAAGAGAAAGAAAAGAAACCAGAUAAAAAGAAAGAGAGGAGAGGACUAGACUUUCCCGUUGGUACGGAAAAAGAAAGAGAGAUGAAGAGUAGAGAUAGAGUCAGGCCAAGCGCAGUACAACG
rnacentral:misc_RNA from 1 species